rnacentral:rRNA from 1 species
CCUACGGGAGGCAGCAGUGGGGAAUAUUGGGCAAUGGGCGCAAGCCUGACCCAGCAACGCCGCGUGAAGGAAGAAGGCUUUCGGGUUGUAAACUUCCUUUAAGAGGGAAGAGCAGAAGACGGUACCUCUUGAAUAAGCCACGGCUAACUACGUGCCAGCGGCCGCGGUGAUACGGAGGUGGCAAGCGUUGUCCGGAUUUACUGGGUGUUAAGGGCGUGUAGCCGGGCUGAGAAGUCAGGUGUGACAUUCCGGGGCUCAACCCCGGACCUGCCUUUGAAACUGUUGGUCUUGAGUAUCGGAGAGGCAGGCGGAAUUCGUGGUGUAGCGGUGAAAUGCGUAGAUAUUAGGAGGAACACCAGUGGCGAAGGCGGCCUGCUGGACGACAACUGACGGUGAGGCGCGAAAGCGUGGGGAGCAAACAGGAUUAGAUACCCGAGUAGUC